GCCCGGCGUUCCCUCCCCUUCCGUGCGCAAGUGGAGGCCGGGGUGGGGCGGGGCAGGCGCAGCCUGGGCUGAGUUUGCGGGGCUGCUCCCCUCACCCAACCCCUUCGAGUCCUCCGCGGGCUCCGCCUCACCCGGCCCGUGGGGGAGGUUCCGUCCCGCCGCCUUCGCCCGCUCGCUGCACUCGCGGACGGUCUCUGCUCGCCUUGGGCGCGCCAUGGCGCGCGGGGCUGCGCUGGCGCUGCUGCUCCUCGGCCUGCUCCGCCCUCUGGUGGCCGCCCCGGGGCUGACUUUGACUUAGCGGUGCCUUUCGUGAUGGAGGAAACAGUACUGAUGAUUGCAACUCUCAUGUUUUAUACAAAGGUGACCCAGCACCACCUAAUCCCCCCAAACCAAAGCCAGAUCCAGACUCCAACCGACCUGGUUUCACUGGGGCUGACUUUGACUUAGCAGAUGCCUUUGGUGAUGGAGGAAACAGUGACCCAGCAUCACCUAAUCCCCCCAAACCAAAGCCAGAUCCAAAUCCCAACUGACCUGGUUUCACUGAUAAGAGCCUCUAACCCUACGGGGUGGUCUCCAUGUUGUUUACCUGGCAGUGAUGUCCGUGUCAUCUGAGAAGGGGAGAUUUCAGCCACCUUCUGGUCUCUAAUCUGUUCAUGUGAGAGAAGAGUGAUGUGAAAAUGGUCAGGAAUUUGCUUUUUCUGAUGAGAUCCUGGGGCUGACUUUGACUUAGCAGAUGCCUUUCGUGGUGGAGGAAACAAUGACCCAGCACCUCCUAAUUCACCCAAGCCAAAGCCAAACGCGAACCCUGAGCAGCCUGGAUUCAUUGGGGAUGACUUUGACUUAGCAGAUGCCUUACAUGACAGAGGAAACUGGGAUGACUUUGAUUUCACAGAUGUUUCUUCAUGGUGAAUGAAACAGUUCUGGGAAUCAGGACAUGGAUGUCUUUGGAUCCUGCUAUUGCUUCUGCCUACAACUGGUGUUACAAGACUUGGCCCACUUAAUCUUGCAAAUCCUUUCCGCCCCUCUUAAUGAGAUCUGUUCUCUAUGAAUGCUCAGGACCUCAGGAGUAGGGACUCCAAAGGCUGGGGGCAAAGUAGAUGUGACGGGCGCCAAGCAUAGGCUGUGUGACCAGAUUUGGUCAUGUGAUUACAUUGUGAGGUGACCCAGGCAUUUUCGUUAGGAAGGAAAAUGGUUGUAGGAGGAGGAAAUUGAACACAACCCACACGUGGGUGGUUGGAAAAUCUGAGAGCUCUCAUGGGCAUGCUCAUCCAUUUCACUCACCAUGGUACAGGGGAAAUUCUUAGACCUGUCAGUGCAACUAUUUGAAAUAAACAUCCAAGAAAGUCAGCAAACUUCAGGUGGGAUGAAGUCAGAGAUCCACCCUGAAGCACAGUGAAAGCCACAAGACAGAAGUGACUGAUCCCAUCCCAGGGAUCCUAAAGAAGAUUAUCAUCAGACUUCCCAUCGGAAACUUUGGAAGUCAGAAGGCAGUAGGCCGAUAAAUUCAAAAUGCUAAAAAACAAAACCAAUGAGAACAUGCUAACCAAGAAAAAAAAAUACUACAUGGCUGAAGAAAUCAUGCAGAAAUCUUAGCAACAUUUUAAAUGAUCCAACAAGGUCUGUUGUUUCUGUGCAGAUAUGGGCAAACAUGAGCUUGUAUAGCUUAUUUUUAUGGGUGCAAGGAGCAUGCAGUUAUCUCCCCUAGCAUGUUUUUUGUUUGUUUGUUUGUUUGUGUGCUUUGAGAUGUCGCCCAGGCUGGAGUGCAGUGGCACAAUCUUGGCUCACUGCAACCUCCGUCUCCCGGGUUCAAGCAGUUCCCUGCCUCAGCCUCCCAAGUAGCUGAGAUUACAGGUGCCCGCCACCACGCCCAGCUAGUUUUUGUAUUUUUAAUAGAGAUGGGGUUUCAGCAUCUUGGCCAAGGCUGGUCUUGAACUCCUGACCUCGUGAUCCACCCACGUCAGCCUCCCAAAGUGCUGGGAUUACAGGUGUGAGCCACCGUGUCCAGCCUGUUUUUCUUUUUAACUCAUGAAUAAGUUCAGAAUUUAGUUCCAGAUACGUGAGAGCUCCUUGUAGAUGUUUUUCAUGGUGAGUCAGCUGGCUCACCCGACCUUGUCUGACUUCUUCCUUUAUCUUCCCAACAGUUCAGCACCUUGGUGCAGUACAGGGUCCCAUUAGCAGGUCUCAUUUCCCACCACUGACUGAACAUCAGCAGGCUCAAUCCACAAGUCAGGGGCUGGGGAUGGCUUGUCAAGAAUUCCCUUUUUAGGGGCAGGAAUGAAAUUUAUAACAACAUCCAUGCUGCUUGAUGGAACCCUCUCUACAUGGCAGGUGCUUUGCAAGCACUUUCAGAAAAUCUGCACCAAACUUAGAGUAAGAAUGAUCGCUGUCAUUCUACAAGUCAGAAACUUGAAGAUCAGAUUGGUGACGUGUUCAGCUAAUGCACUGCUAAUAAACAGCAGAAGUGAAAUUCAAAUAUCAAGACAUUUGUCCUGAAAGUCUCUGCUUGCAACUAGAUUAUGGCCCUGAUAUCCUAGGGGUGAAUCAGUCUCAGUUUCCCUUCCCGGACCCCCAGCAAGUAGUACAUGGGAAUUAUUCUAGUCCGGUAUAGCAGGGAGCAGUGUAAACAGAUAAACAAGGUUUUCCGGGGCCCUGGUUUAGGCAAAUAAAUCUUACAACAUUAUCUGGCUCUUUCAAGUAGUCUUUCUAGACUGUUUUGCCCAAUGGAAAAUAGUGUUUGUAUCUUUAGAAAAUGUAAUACGUGUUUUUCCCCUCUCAAUAUUUUGCAGGGCAGAGAUAUUACUUUGAUCUAUUUUCACAUUAUAAUUAUUAUUUGAGGUCUCAAUUAAGACCAGCGUCUUCAUCUGUGUGGGGCUCUGAGUUAAGGGCUUUCCGUAGACUCACUGCUGUGCCGUUUCUUCUAACUCCCUUGAGCAGAGGCCAGCAGUAGAGAAACUUGAUAAAUAACACAAGUGCUACAGUCCCUGAGCCCUCUAAGAAAUAAGACACAAAGGAAAGAUCCACGAACAUUUUCACAGAUGUGCCCAAUUCCGGUGGCCCCCGGUUUCCCACCCUGCCGUUGAUAUUCUGCCACCCAUAGUCAUGAUCAUUGGCUACAAUACAGCAGGCAAGGCUGUGCAGGAAUGAUGUUACAGGUGGGCUCAUGGCUACAUGGAUGUCUAGAACUGUCUAGGUGUCCAUAUGCAGGAACUGAGGGAAAGUGAGAAGGAGGGAAGGAUGGGUGAAUGGAUGGAUAGAUAAAUGGAUGGAAAGGUGGACGAAUGGAUAGAUGCAUGAAUGGAUGGUGAAUUGGUGGGUAAAAUGGAGGGAUAGAUGGGUGUUUGGAUGGAUAUUUGGAUGGAUGGGUAGAUGGGUGGAUGGAUGGAUAUAGGUGGGUGGAUGGAUGAAUGAAUGGCUGAGUGGAUGGGUAGACGGAUGGAUGGAGAGAUGGAUAAGUGUUUGAUGGAUGAAUAGACACAUACAUGGAUGGACAGGUGUUUGGGUGGAUGCGUAGGUGGAAAGGUGGAUGGAUAGAUAGAUUGAUGGGUAGAUGGAUGGGUAGAUGGAUGGAUGGAUCAGUGAAUAGAUGUGUCAAUGAAUAGGGGGAUGUAUCAUUGGUGGGAUGGGUGAGUGGUUUGGUGGAUGAGUAGAUGGAUGAGUGGGUGGAUGGAUGGAUGGAUGGAUGGUUAGAUGAGUGGAUGAGUAGAUGAGUGGAUGGGUGGAUGGAUGGAUGGAUGGAUGGAUGGAUGGAUGGAUGGAUAGAUGGAUAGGUAGAUAAGUAGAUGAUUGAAUGGAUGGAUGGAUGCAUGAAUAAACAGGUUCAUGGAUGGGUGGAUGAGUAGAUAGAUGGAUGGAUGGAUGUGGGUGGCUGGCUAGAUAUGUAGAUAGAUGCAAAGGUGAAUUCAAAGAGAAGGAUAGAUUUGUGAGGAUGAAAGUGAGAAUUUUUCUCCUUAGGUCAUCAGGGGAAAAUUAAAUCCUUACCCACGGAGACAUCUUUCAUUUGAGUCAGGUGGAGGCUCUCUUUUUCUCUCUCCUGGUGACCAGGACAAAGAGAAAUGCAGGUGUAGAGAGCUCUGAUCAGGGAGCCUUGCCUGCCUCUUGUCCUGGGUGACCUUUACCAAAUCCUCUCCUGUGUUGGGUCUCCCUAACCUUGAUUUUCAAAUGGUGGGUUCAGGCCUUUGCCUUUUCUGUGUCUGUGGUUCUCUGUCAUCCACCAAAUCUCCCAGGGAGCCCCUUCCUGCCUCCCCUCUGUCCCUUUGGCCCCCACUCCAGACCCCAGAUUGGGUUCAGGAUUCCUCUGUAGAAGUCAUUGAUGGGAGUCCACACCCUGAAAAUGCCUUUAGUCUUCAUUCCAGCCUCUCCUCUCUGCCAAGUGAGCUGCCCUUGCCGGCAGCAGUCACUUCCUCACACAGGGAUGCUUGUUUCAGCACACUGAGUAGGUGCCGUCUCCUGAGUGGGAAUUGGCUUGGCACAGGCGACCGUAUGACAUUGUUUCAAAAAGUCAUUCAAAUUCUUUGUCUUGUACAUCCUGUCUGGAAGCACGUAUAUACAUUCCCGCCUCCCCACUGGGCACGCUCUUACCCUUGCCCUGCCAUUCUGGUGCUAGGAGCUGUCUGUGCUGUCCACUGGGUGGACAGAGAUGUCUUCCCCAUGAAAAGGGGAAUCAGGGUCUUUAUCUAUCUCUUAGAAGCCAGGCAUUGGGCACCAGGGCUCAUGAACAGCUGAUUUUUGAAGUGGUCCCAGGGGAAGCUGAG